rnacentral:misc_RNA from 1 species
AGCCCAAAUGGAUAUUUUGAUUGGAUUAUUACCAUUUCUAAGGAACAAACAAAAACCAACAAUUGUGAGAGUGCAUCGAUCAAUUGCACAAACCAAUCCAACAAAGGUCCAUGAAAGAACUAAGAAGAGUGCCACUUUGAGUAGGAAAAUAAAACCAUGAUAUUAUUGUGCCAUUCCAUCGCCAAAUAGCUCGUUCCUUCAGAACAUUAAGCCAAAUCUCAAAACAAAGCAAUGCUCUGAGAAAAGCUGCUAAAAAACUAUUGACAACAGCAAUGAAGUUGGCAAUAGCAAACA